AUAAAUAGGUUGUAAUCAUUUCACAACUACAGCUCACCAUGCUCCACUAUGCUUAAUAAAGCGAUCAAAGUAGCAUCGACCUCCGGGAAAUUGCCUUUAGAGAAAGUGUAUCAGAUCUGGAGAAAUUAAGCUCCGGUGACGCGGACUUUGAACGAAGAAUGGAUCCGCCGAUUACAAUCGCCGAUCGCCACUCUUCGUCUUCUGCGUCUGAGAACGGCAAGAGAUGAGGCGGAUCUCCAAAAACAGACUCCGCUAGAGUCGGAACAACCAGCGAUCCAUCCGUCGGCUCCCUUGGAAGAACAAAAGGACCUCAAGUGGAGGUCGC
rnacentral:lncRNA from 1 species